rnacentral:rRNA from 1 species
AUGGAGUCGGGCACCCUCAUAAACCACGCCCGCCAUCCCCGCAACAGCCACAAGGUCAUCGCCUCCUCGCCAGCGAUGGAGCACCAGGUCUUCCUGCUGAACCAGCAAGCGGUCGUGGUCACCGCGGUGGGCACCAAGGCGCACGCGGCGAGCCCGCUUUCCAUCGGCUGCGCGCUCGAGCGCGAACUCAAGAUCCCCCCGCACCUGCUCCGCAUCACCAACCACGACCCCGAGGACUUCUUCGUCUACUUCACCCUGUCGGCGCACAAGGACCUGGAAGUGCGGCGUGGCUCGCUGUCGGUGGAUGGCGUGCCAUUCCUACUCGAGCCCUGGAGGGAGGACGCCCACGCCAUCUGACUCAAGUGGAUGCUGCACGUGCGUGUGGUCAUCGAGAAGCUUCCCAUGCAGCUCUGGACGAUGGAGGGCGCGGUGGAGGCCAUCGGCGACAAGGUCGUCGUCGACCGCCUCGACAGCCGGACUUACGAGCGCGUCGACACCAAGCUGUUCGCGUGCUGGGUCUGGUGCUGGGACACUGCACACAUCCCCACGAAGCGCAUGAUCUGGAAGCAUGCCCGGGGCGCUGGGCGCGUCGAUGAGAUGGUGGACUACUCCCCCCCCCCCCCGAGCCGCGCCGUGGCGCCUCUGCCAGAGCUACUGCAGUACGACAUGCUUCUCCACCUAGAUCGCGUGGAGGACUGGAUUCCGCUUUUGCCGCGUUCAUCCCACUCGCCGCAGAGCGGCAUCCCCUCCGACAACAACGAGCCCGACGAGCCCCCCCUACCCUAG